CACACACACACACAUUUUUAAAUACAACAACUUAAUUCUCACCUCUUCUGUGUUUUGCAUGACCCAAAUGACACAAACCAAACAAGAUGAGCAGCUCAAGUGGAAGUGACCUUGACUUUGUUGCCACUCAAGAGUUCAACAUCAGCAUGAAAAGAAUUGAAACAUUUUUGGUAUGCCAAGUAGACGAGUUACGGGAAUCGCAUAGAACCCUCAGAGAAGCAACGGAGACCUUGACAGAAAGAGAUCUUCCCGCUGUACAGAGUGAGCUGUCUGCUCUGAAAUCCACCAUCACAGACCAGGGCAGGCAAAUGGAGAAGCGACAGAGGCAACCGACAGCACCAACGAUGAAAGCGCCACCGACAACAGCGACAAGGAUAGUGACAACAUAGCCUCGCAGGCACCUGCUUUGUCUAUGCCAAAAGAAAGAGGAGUGAAGAAGACCUGGAUGACCUCCUGCAGCUAUUUUGGCCCACAAAUGCAAGAAUCAGGGAGCAGCUGAAUGAAAGGCAACAAGCCCAUGAAGGAAAGACUCCCGAUUACAAUAAUGCUAAAGAGAUGCGAGACGCCACCCAUUUACAAGAUGGAAAUAUGUCAGAGCUCAAAAGAAGAAGAUUAAGUGACAGACAGUCUGAGCAUGUUGUUGAUGUUACUGAGAGGAGCCAGGAAAAUAGCCCACAGCUACGUACAAUC